rnacentral:rRNA from 1 species
CCUACGGGUGGCUGCAGUGGGGGAUAUUGCACAAUGGGGGAAACCCUGAUGCAGCGACGCCGCGUGUGGGAAGACGGUCUUCUGGAUUGUAAACCACUGUCCCCAGGGACGAAAAUGACGGUACCUGGGGAGGAAGCUCCGGCUAACUACGUGCCAGCAGCCGCGGUAAUACGUAGGGAGCAAGCGUUGUCCGGAAUUACUGGGUGUAAAGGGAGCGUAGGCGGGGAUGCAAGUUGGGUGUCAAAACUACCGGCUCAACCGAUAGUCGCACUCAAAACUGCAGCUCUUGAGUGAAGUAGAGGCAGGCGGAAUUCCUAGUGUAGCGGUGAAAUGCGUAGAUAUUAGGAGGAACACCAGUGGCGAAGGCGGCCUGCUGGGCUUUUACUGACGCUGAGGCUCGAAAGUGUGGAGAGCAAACAGGAUUAGAUACCCGGGUAGUC